AUUGAACGCUGGCGGCAUGCCUUACACAUGCAAGUCGAACGGCAGCACGGGAGCAAUCCUGGUGGCGAGUGGCGAACGGGUGAGUAAUAUAUCGGAACGUGCCCAGUCGUGGGGGAUAACGCAGCGAAAGCUGUGCUAAUACCGCAUACGAUCUAUGGAUGAAAGCGGGGGAUCGCAAGACCUCGCGCGAUUGGAGCGGCCGAUAUCAGAUUAGCUAGUUGGUGGGGUAAAGGCCCACCAAGGCGACGAUCUGUAGCUGGUCUGAGAGGACGACAAGCCACACUGGAACUGAGACACGGGCCAGACUCCUACGGGAGGCAGCAGUGGGGAAUUUUGGACAAUGGGCGCAAGCCUGAUCCAGCAAUGCCGCGUGCAGGAUGAAGGCCUUCGGGUUGUAAACUGCUUUUGUACGGAACGAAACGGCCCUUUCUAAUACAGGGGGCUAAUGACGGUACCGUAAGAAUAAGCACCGGCUAACUACGUGCCAGCCGCCGCAGUAACAC
rnacentral:rRNA from 1 species